rnacentral:lncRNA from 1 species
AUGAGAUGCAUGCCUCUGACAGCACGGCACCUCUGUGAAAAGUGCCACCACCCUAGCAGACCACGCUCUCACUGGAUGUCCUCUCACGACUUCAUCAAGGAUCCUACAGGCUGGGAGGGGGUCUCACCUCCUGAGAACUGCAGGUCAGUCCUAUGUCACGUGUCCUUCCUCAUUUUGAUCGGGGUGAAGAUGGAGGGGGAGGUGGCCCUGACAGCCGUGGAGGUGUGGAAACGGAGGGGAAGAAAAGAGAAUUUCAGAGCCCACUGCCCCUUUGCUGGGAAACACUUCUUUCUUGAGACUUCCUGGGGAGGCCGGAAGUACAUACCCCAGACCUCAGAGGGCGGGGGAAUCAACAGAACCCUGAGACCUGGAACAGGUGCAGCACCCAGGGCAAAAGAGAGGGAUGCCCUGGGUUUUCAUUCAAGAUCAGAUAUGGAAGAAAGAAAAAAAAAUGAAAAAGGAAUCCUAACACAGCUCCCCCCAGCGUUCGUGGGGGCAGCACAAAGAGAGGAGGUGACAUUUUCUGUGCUUAUGGGAGAAGCAGGCCGGGCCCACCUGCACAGCAACCUGAAGACGGCCAGCGCCACGUGGAGAUGCCACGGAGUCACUGAAGCCCAGGCCCUGGCCUCGCUCCCAGCGUGUACACACACACACACACACACACACACGGGGGACUUUUCAACAUCCUUUCACACACGCUCUCCAGCUUCAAGCUGCUUCUACAGAAGUAGGGCAGGCCUCAGCACGCUCCGUUUCAGAGAAGAGGAAGCAGGCUCAGGCGGGCUGGUACGUGGGAAACGCCGGGCUGUGGGCUCUCCCUCUUCUGUGACAGCUCUCCCAGCACAGGGAGGCUGCCUAGCAGGGAGGGCUGGGGGAAGGGGGGCGCGCUGGGACUCCCUCUGCCCUCUCUCUGGCACAAGAAUCUUUCCCCAGGCCAGGGGUGUGCGGGGAAGAGCUCAGUGGAGAGGAACUGGAACCGGGCUGCAAUUCUGUUGUGUAUUAUAG